AGGGUUUAGUUUAAUGAAAUCGAUUGAUUUGCAUUCAAUAGAUGUAGGAUAUAGUCUUGCAACCCUUA
rnacentral:tRNA from 1 species